GCCGAUGUAGCUCAGCUGGUAGAGCACUCGCCUUGUAAGCGAGUCGUCGUCGGUUCGAGUCCGACCAUCGGCUCCG
rnacentral:tRNA from 1 species